rnacentral:rRNA from 1 species
UACGGGGGGGGCAAGCGUUGUUCGGAAUUACUGGGCGUAAAGGGCUCGUAGGCGGCCAACUAAGUCAGACGUGAAAUCCCUCGGCUUAACCGGGGAACUGCAUCUGAUACUGGAUGGCUUGAGAUUGGGAGAGGGAUGCGGAAUUCCAGGUGUAGCGGUGAAAUGCGCAGAUAUCAGGAGGAACACCGGUGGCGAAGGCGGGUCUCUGGGCCGUAACUGACGCUGAGGAGCGAAAGCGUGGGGAGCGAACAGG